GUUGGGUAGAUGAACAAACUCAGGUGGACAAAACAAAGCUACAGUAAUUGAAUAUUUGAACUAUUCCCACUUGUCAUUUGCUUAGAAACUGAUUUAAGAAGAUAAUAUUGUUGUUGCACCCUUCUUUAGUAUUGUACCGAAGUGUUGAUUUUACCCAGAAUUUGGGGAUAUUAAAGGAACUAUCUUGGUUGGUUGGUUUGAAAAUCAAAAUAAAGAUCAGAAAUAAUUUUUUUUGGUUCUGGUAGUUAGAUCUACCGAUAAAGGUUUGAUUCUUUUAAUGCACGGUGGCAAAUUGUGAGGCAGAAAUCUGCUGUUUCUAGGAAGAUUUGAGGAAUUUGGGACUGCAUCAGCAUCAUUAGCAUAAAAAUCAGAGUUGGGUUGCUUUUAUUAUUUGAUAUAUAGUUGAGGAAAUUUAAUGCUGAUUUGUACUUAGGAAUCCUGAAAUUGAGGAAAAUUCAACGAAGUACCCAGUUGUUAGGAUUGAAGUAUUCGAGUUUGAUUUCCUAUUGUCGAUUUUGGUUGAUUUGUUGG
rnacentral:misc_RNA from 1 species